rnacentral:ncRNA from 1 species
GGGAGUGCUUAAGUUGGUUAGGCUGAGAGACGGUGCGGACAUCGUCAAUCCUAUGGGUUAACCCAGAACCUGAUCCGGAUAAUGCCGGCGUAGGGAGUAUGAUU